GAUGAACGCUGGCGGCGUGCCUAAUACAUGCAAGUCGAGCGAACAGACGAGGAGCUUGCUCCUCUGACGUUAGCGGCGGACGGGUGAGUAACACGUGGAUAACCUACCUAUAAGACUGGGAUAACUUCGGGAAACCGGAGCUAAUACCGGAUCACAUGUUGAACCGCAUGGUUCAACAGUGAAAGACGGUCUUGCUGUUACUUAUAGAUGGAUCCGCGCCGCAUUAGCUAGUUGGUAAGGUAACGGCUUACCAAGGCAACGAUGCGUAGCCGACCUGAGAGGGUGAUCGGCCACACUGGAACUGAGACACGGUCCAGACUCCUACGGGAGGCAGCAGUAGGGAAUCUUCCGCAAUGGGCGAAAGCCUGACGGAGCAACGCCGCGUGAGUGAAGAAGGUCUUCGGAUCGUAAAACUCUGUUAUUAGGGAAGAACAAAUGUGUAAGUAACUAUGCACGUCUUGACGGUACCUAAUCAGAAAGCCACGGCUAACUACGUG
rnacentral:rRNA from 1 species